GAUGAACGCCGGCGGUGUGCCUAAUACAUGCAAGUCGAGCGCACUGGCCCAACAGAAAUGACGUGCUUGCACUGAUUUGACGUUGGAUUCCCAGUGAGCGGCGGACGGGUGAGUAACACGUGGGCAACCUGCCCCAAAGCGGGGGAUAACAUUUGGAAACAGGUGCUAAUACCGCAUAACUUGGAAAACCACAUGGUUUUCCAAUAAAAGAUGGUUUCGGCUAUCACUUUGGGAUGGGCCCGCGGCGCAUUAGCUAGUUGGUAAGGUAACGGCUUACCAAGGCAAUGAUGCAUAGCCGAGUUGAGAGACUGAUCGGCCACAAUGGAACUGAGACACGGUCCAUACUCCUACGGGAGGCAGCAGUAGGGAAUCUUCCACAAUGGGCGCAAGCUUGAUGGAGCAACACCGCGUGAGUGAAGAAGGGUUUCGGCUCGUAAAACUCUGUUGUUGGAGAAGAACGUGCGUAAGAGUAACUGUUUACGCAGGACGUAUC
rnacentral:rRNA from 2 species